UUUGAACUCCUGACCUAAAGUGAUCCACCCACGUCGGCCUCCCAAAAUCCUGGGAUUACAUGUGUGACCCACUGCACCCCGUCCCCUUUUAUCUUUUUAGCCAGUUUAAAAUAUUUUGUUUUAGUCUUUUUCAGUUAGUUCUGUCAUCUCUAGUUCUCGGGAGCUUUUAUCCUUUUGUUGUAUUUGUCACAUCUCUCUCAUGGUACAUUUUUUUUUCCUAGCCAUUUUGUGAUUUUUUUUUUUUUGAUUGGCAGCAAAGUUUAUAUUUAUUUCUUUGAGAAUCUUGUAAGGGCUGGGAUUUGGAAUGGUCCCUUCUGAACAAAUUUUGGAUAUACUUCUAUGAGUUUUUCUCCCCAAAUGCCGUCACCUCUGGUAAUCAGCUUUUAUUUGAGUUGUUUGUCUUGAGGACUCCUGCAUGCCUGAGGCAGUGUACACUUAGACUGCAAGCAUGGGCAUGAUAGGUUCUUGUUUGAUAGGCCCAUGUUUCUCUUUCUUGCCGACUUUUCGAAGAGACUGAAAAGUCUUUGCUGUCUUCCUGGGGUAGAUUAUUGUGGUUUUUCUCUAACCCCUUACACUAAAAAUACAGCUUUUUGGAGAUCCCAGUUAUGCAAGCGUCUCAGUUGCCUUUCCUAGUUCUGCUACGAAACCUAAGUCCAUCCCCUUUAGGGACUCUUCUGAACCAGGAACUCCUUCCCCACCUGCCCAUGGGACCCCAUAGCACCAGCUGUAUGCUUACAGUUCUAGCUUUUUGUUCUCCUUUCAUUUCUGGCCUGUAGGAAUUUCAUAUGGUUUCUCUGUGCUCGGUUACAUAUUUAAAUAAAAUAUUACAGUCUUUUUCAGUGUUUUAAAAUAUUUGUAGCUGAAAAGAUUCUAUGGUAGCUCAGUUACCCAUGUUCCAAGAACUCUCUGUGGUGAGCUAAAUAACCAUAACCUCCAAAAAAUUGUUCAUAUCCUAAUCCUAGGAACCUACAAAUAUGUUACUUUACGUAACUAAAAGGACUUUGAAAGAUAUGAUUCAAUGAAGAAUCUUGAGAUGGGGAGAUUAUUCUGGAUUAUCUGGGUGAUCUUUAUGGAAUCACAUCAGUCCUUAGAAGAGGGGAAAGAGGGUCAGAGUCAGAAAAGGACCUGCGCAUUUGAGGCUCUGUGCCAAGGAAUUCAGAAAACCCCCAGAGGCUAGAGGAAGGAAGGAAACAGAUUCUCUCACUGGAGCUUUCGGGAGUACAGCCUGACCAACACAGCCUCCAGAACUGUAAGGCAAUACAUUUGUGGUGUUUUAAUCCACCAUGCUUGUGUUAAUUUGCUAAAGCAAUGAUAGGAAACCCUCUUCGAUGGUUUUAGAGGACGGCCUGGUAGUGGUAAUUGGGGUAUACUGAAAACUGUAUUAAAGACACAGCAGAAUCAACUUGGCGAGGAAUACCCUUGACAGAGGGUUAUCAGAAGGAAGCAGCCUCUUUUUCCCCCUAUGUGCAGGAAAAGAAAAAAACCAGAACAGACAUACUUGUGAAUAUUCUAGAUAACAUUCUCAAUGAUAGCAUAAUGCCUAGUCUGAGAACUAAACUAGUGCUUUCUCCCCUCUUUUUGGUUGUAGAGAUAUGUAUAUUUUUACAUUUACAUUAAUAGAUUUUAAUUAUUAAUGAGCCUCUUAGUUGGCAACGGAGUGAGCAUUGAAGAGUUUCCUCAUUUUGCCAAAACUGUGAUGCAAGUAAUGUAUUUGCUGUGCUGGGAGAUGCUGAUGAGGGUGCCGGAACACCUCACCCUAGCUACAUGGUAAGGAUUCCACUGAUGGUAAAAUUCUAGGCAGGUUCUUUAACAGUGAGAGGUUCCUGACUUGUCAAACUCCACAUAGGUGAAUUGUUCAGUAUUUCUUUUCCGGGGCUGCUGUAGCAAAUUACCACAAAUGUGGUGACUUAAAAUAACAGAAAUGUAUUCCCUUAUAGUUCUGGAGACCAGAAGUCCAAAAUCAAGGUGUCCACAGAGUCAGGCUCUCUCAGGGCCUCUUCCAUUUUCUGGUGGCUGCUGGCAUUCCUUGUGGCUGCUGGCAUUAGUCUCUGCCUCUUUUUUUCACCUUCUUCAUUGUGUGUGUGUCUCUCUAAUUUCCCUGUGCCUCUCUUGUAAGGAUACCGGUUAUGACAUUUAGGCCCUACGUCAUAAUCUAGGAUAAGCACCUCCUUUAAAAAUCCUUGGUUUAGUUCCAUCUUUUACCAUAUAAGAUAAUAUUUAUUCUUUACUACAUAAGGUUAUAUUCACAGAGGGGUCAGUUGGCCUGUUCUGUUUGUCUGGAUUUUUUUGUGUGUGUGGGGAAGAUUAUUGUUCUGUGCUCUGACUCACCUUAUAAAAAAUCUCUGGUGUAGCAAUUAUUUGUUCCAUUGUAAUUUUUCAUUCUCUUCUACACUGACUUCUAGAGCAAGGGUCAGAAAACUACAGCCCACAGCCAAAUCCAUCUCACUGACUUAUUUUUGUACAGCCUGCUAGCUUAGAAUGGUUUCACAUUUUUGAAUGCUGAAAAAACAGGAGGAAUGACAUUUUGUGAUACAUUAAAAUUAUAUGAAUUCAAAUUUCAGUAUAUAUAAAUAAGGUGUUAUUGGAACACAGCCCUGCCUACUCCUUUGCUUACAUAUUGUCUGUCACUGCUUUUGUGUACAGUGGCAGAGUUGAAUUUUUGUGGCAGAGACUAUGUGAUCUGCAAAGCCUAAUGAUAAAUAUCUGGCCCUUUGCAGAGAAAGUUGGCCAAGCCCUGUUCUUAUAGGGAUGUCUUGUUUCUGGCUUUUAGCAUAUACUCAGCAUUAAGUACUUGUUGAUGAAUAAUUAACUUUUAAUGUUAUAACUUUAAAUGUAUAACUUUUAAUAUUCUCAUAUUUAAGAAUUUCAGUAAUAUAGUAAGGGUGUACUGUAAUUUCCUAAAGGAUUUAAAGAAUCUUUUAAAGAUUUUAAAGUUUUAAAGAUCUAUUGGGAUUGAAAUAAUAUCAGAUUAUUUAUGCUUCUUAUCUUUCUGGGUCUAAGAGUUAAAGGAUACAGUGCAGUUCCCCCUGUGAACUUAACUGAAUUAGGAAAUAUGCAUCACACCCAGGACUUGGAUGUCGGCAAAUGCGAUGGUUAAUUUUAUGUGUGAACUUGACUAGGCUAUGGUGCCCCAUUGUUUGGUCAAGCACUAGUCUAGAUGUUGCUAUGAAGGUAUUUUGUAGAGGUGUCUAACAGGUACAAUCAGUUGACUUUAAAUCCUAUACCUUCCAUCAUGUGGGUGGGCCUUAGCCUGUCAGUUGAAGACCUGAAGAACAAAGAUUAAGGUUUUCUGAGGAAGAAGAAAUUUUGCUUGAGUUGCCAGCCUGCUGGCCAGCCCCACAAAUUUCUGACUUGCCAGUCACGACAAUCAUAUGAGCCAAUUCUUUAAAAUCUCUCUGUCUGUGUGUGUGCCUGUUUCACUGUUGGAUUUUCACUCAAUAGAUUAGAUAUAGAUACAUUUCCUAUUGGUUCUGUUUCUCUGGAAACAGAAAUGCAGCAGGCUGCUGUGAUGUGUUGCACACGUGACCCGUCUUCAGUGUUUGGUACCAGGAUGCAGCAAGGAUGCUAAGCAUAGCCCUCCUGCCGUGCUUCCUCCUUCUUCCUUCGCACCUCCUUCAGGCUUCUGUCUUUUACAGCUCCUGAAAAGAAAUGUGUUAAAUUUGAAUACCACAGAGUUAGAAAUAAGUUCACUUGUUGGAGGGGCAGAGAACUUUUUCUCAGUACAAGACUGUUUGAAGUUGUUAGAAGACUGUCAGUGAGGGGGAUAAAAUCAAACAGAAGCAAAUGUGCCUGCUGAUAAGGAGCAGCUGGGCACAGGAGAAGGACUAGACAAAUUUCUGAGUGGCAAAAUUUGUGAAAGUUCUUGUCUCUCCUUGUCCCUUGGAAAAGAAAAGCUUGCUGGGUGUUCCAGCUGCACUGGAGCCUACCAAGUCCAUGUAGCUCUCUAAUUUGGUUCUCUUAUGCUAUACAUGGUUCCUUUUAUCUUCAAGUUUUGUCUCUUUGGCAAAAAAAAUGCAAAAAAA